rnacentral:rRNA from 1 species
CAGUCGCCGCGGUAAUACGAAGGGGGCUAGCGUUGUUCGGAAUUACUGGGCGUAAAGCGCACGUAGGCGGAUAUUUAAGUCAGGGGUGGAAUCCCAGAGCUCAACUCUGGAACUGCCUUUGAUACUGGGUAUCUUGAGUAUGGAAGAGGUGAGUGGAAUCCCGAGUGUAGAGGUGAAAUUCGUAGAUAUUCGGAGGAACACCAGUGGCGAAGGCGGCUCACUGGUCCAUUACUGACGCUGAGGUGCGAAAGCGUGGGGAGCAAACAGGAUUAGAUACCCGCGUAGUCCCUGUCUCUUAUAC